CCUAUGCACUGAGACCUCAGUUUCCACUUCCAUCAUACUGUCAGCAUCCCCUGCAUCUUGCUCUGCUCCAUGAGGCUCUCUGGACAUGAACAAGUACAGAUUUCUGCAAAUAGCUGCUUAAGCACUGGCAGUUCCACCAGUGAAAACAUUUUGGUGUAGCUGUGUUCUCUGAGUAAUGAGAAAACUCAGAUUCAUAUGGGAUACAUUCAUAUGGGACACAUUGGUCUGAAUGUAAAUAUUCACCCUGUUUGAUGAAGGAGUCUUAGAUGAACUGGAAUGUAAGUUUACAUUAUGGGCCUCCAAUGCUGUGCUUGCGUAGUCUGUAAUCGAAAGGUUUCAGGUGAGCCAUGCAGUUGCAUUAAGCCAGCUUUGAGGCACUGUCUGUUAGAAGUGAAUAGUUACCUGAGAUUGCUGAGUAUCAUUCAAAAUUUAAAACCUAUCUAAUGUGUAAGAUUUCUCUCAAGCAAUUUUAUAACCUCAUCUACUAAAGAAACAGCAAAAGACACACUAAAAUCAAUACAACGCUACAGCCGGGUAAUAUCACCCAUAUAUUUGAUUUGUUUAACUUCAAAAUAAGGAACUUUUUAAACAGCUGAACAUGUCUUGGCAUGCUGCCUUAUUACAUAUCACUAGCAGUUUAGAAUUUACUAGCAAGAUGUUAAGCCUUCCUAUUGCUUUUGCCUCAUUUCAGAAUUUAAGAUCAGGCUGAUUAUGCCAAGGGCUGAGAGAGCUGUUUACCUGCUUUAAUUCUGGUGCGCUCACUAAGUCUAGCCAUUAAAAUGCAGCCUGAGUAUCACUAUUUUGCAGAACUAAGCAUCACCUAAGUAGCUUUUUCUAGCAAGUAUCUGCUGUUGGCCAUGCACAAAACAAGUUUUAGGAAGGAGUUACAUAUCUGAAUUCCUUUUGCUAAAGGCCAUUAAAUCAUUACAAACAAUAUCUUCAAGAAUUUGGACUAGUGCAGAGUCCAUUUGUAUUCGGAUUUUGGAGCCCAUGUGCAGCUUUUUCUGUACCCUGAAACCUCCAAAUGGAUCCAGUCUUCCCUGGAGAUGUAUCCAGUUUUUCUAGAAAGGAUUCCAAAGGAAAGAUGAGACCCUCUCACGUGGGCUAAGACAAAGCCAUACUAUCAGGGAAAAAUGCUUUGUUACAUACAAGGUAUUUCUUCAUCUUAAGGUAAUUUCUAACAGAUUUUUUAUAUGCAUCAGGACAUCUCAAAGACCAUUUAGAGAUUGUUUUAUAUUUGCCUUACAUUAGUGAAAGUCCAUCUUCCUAUCAGAAAUGGCACACUGAGCAGCUCUGAAACCCCUGGUAUAAUUUUUGUUCAGACUAUUUCCUUUCCUAUUUUAAAGUGACAUAAAGAAUCCCUUUACAGUCAAUACUUGAGCAAAAACUUUAAAACCAAUCUUCAGACUGAUCGCCAGACAUCAUCGAAGUAAUAAUACCGGAUUUUUUUACAGGAGAAUUUGGCAUGAUGGAUGUACCCGAAAUAAGAAAUUAGAUAUCAUAUAAUGGGUACUAAUGCUGAAGGGAAAAUCAGAUAGAAUAUGACUAGUGCUAUUUAAAAAACAGAUGGAACACUUCCAUCUUUGACAAGAGUAAAGGAAAAAAAAAAAAAUUUGAAAAAAAUAUUAGCCAUCUUAGGCAGAGAAUACCUCACCUUCCAAAAUUUUAUGCUUUCAGUUUAUUUCAGUCUGUUGCGACCCAAAGGAAUAAAACAGUAAGGAAAACUCAUCAAUUUGACAUUCAGUACUUACAAUAAAAAGCAGAAGUCCAAUUCUCCUUCUGUUUAAAAAUGCAGAAACAAUUCUGGUGAAAAUGCUUGCACUUAUCUUCAGUGUGAAAACAUAAAAGAAUCUGGCAUGAGUUAAAUAAUUGCAGCGUAUCUAAAUACAUCUAGACUUAAAAUUUUCAAAGUUCCACUUUAAUUUUUGUUACAGUUGGAGCCAUUUACAUCCAAAAAGUUUUUCUCCCUUCUUUUGCUAGAUAAAUGACAUUUUAGAAAAUGUGGACAUACACAUGAAACUGUACAGAUAUGAUUUUAAAAUACUUUCUCCUAGAAACAGUUUGAUGCAUCCAUUAGAUUUUGCUGAGAGUAUAACCCACUGCCUAAUACUUUCCAAAUUCUUUUCUGUGUAUGUAACUUUAUUUACCUACAGAGUAACUUUCUAUUUUUCUUCUGCCUCUUUCAUCUGUCUCUUUCAUCUGCCUACAAGCAUCACAUAUGUUUCAACUCUCUCUUAGCCUUUAUAAUACUUUCACUUUGUUUAACUCGGUUUUCUUUCUAUUUUUUAUUUGAUUUUAUUAUUGGAUUAUUUCUACCUUUCUCCAUUAGUUGCUCUGUUGCAGUCCCACAUGUUAAAAUGAUUUUUUCAGGCAAAGUAGAAUAAAGUUAAUGAUGGACAUUAUAUGGGCAAUGUUUUCACUCAAAAAAGUUUUGCUUUUAGAGAACUGAAAAAAGGAUGGGAAAGAGUGGUUAAAGAGUUGUGCAUUAGAAACUUACAACACAGCAAGUCAAAGUUAAUGCUGGGAGCAUUUCAUAAUUACAGGCUUAAUACAGUGAUGUUCCUGUGGGACUAAUGUGUUUCCAACAUUUUCAUAUGAAGGGAGUCAUGUUUCUUUCCAUUAUUGGAACAUCUCUUAAUUACUCUAUUUUUGCUUUAUCACCUGCAGGAAAAAGUCACAACAGAGAGUUGGAAACACUAAGAAGAACUCAAGAUUAAAAAAAAAAACCAACCAAUAAACAAUGCUAAAAUCACCCCUGAAUUGAACUGCCAAAGGACAAAACAGGUCCCUUUAGCUCAGUGCAUAGGAAGUGAUAGUGCUGGAAAGAUGUAGCAAAGCUUGCAGGUAGCUGCUGGACAUGCAUUAGGUUGUAACAGCCAGAGAGAAAGGUACUACUCCAAAGAAAAUCUGUUAUAGUAAAACAGUGACAGAACAAAGUCAAGAUCGCAUUUUUGUUAGACUUUUUUCCUCCUAUUUAUUUGAAGCUGUUUAUCUGGAGAUAAGAUAAAGAAGCAGUGUCAAAGAAAAGGAGUCCAGUAUUUUAACAGAGUGAAAAGGAAUGUCUCUUAAAAAGCUGAAAUUAGAUAUUAAGGAAAAAGUACACUAGAUAAUCAGUGCAACCGGUAAGGACUAGAGAUUGCUAUAUAAAUUGGGGCAUCAUGCUAGCAGAGGGGAGUCUUUCUCUGAUCACAUAAAUUAAAGGUGUGCCUGUACCAGUGUAAUAAUUACAUAAAGCAUCUCUUCAGAUACAGCACUGAAAGCUCUUUUGGAUACUCCAGGCUUAAAAGCAGAACACUAAUGCAUGAUUUUUAUUGCCAGCUGCCAUGGACCAGAACAAGAACAAAAAUGCCAGUCCUAAGCUCAGACAUUAAAUACAAGGAGUCUGUAUCCCUUCUAAAGAGGUAGUUAGGAAUUAGUGAAUUCUGAUAAUUAGACUUGCAUUAAUAUAUUAUAACAACAUUCCUUUAUCAAAAAAAGAAAUAACAUUUUGUCUGUUGGGAUUAAGCCAGAAGCUCAUAACAGCAUAUUUAAUUCUGCAGUAAUUCCUGGAUAUGUGGAUCAUGAAUGUCUCCUUUGGCUAAGUAUUAAGAUGAUAUUCAAAGCCAAUACAAAUGUUUCCAGCUUGUUCAACUGACUCCUGCAUCUACAACUAGACACUUGGCAGUAGCUGUUUUGUGACAAGAAGGCUUUCUGCAGUAUGUUACCCAAUUGUAUACUGAUAUUGUACAUCUUCAGUCACUGAUCAGUUUUCUGUUUUAUUUGUGAUUACUGCUCUAAUUCUACAUUGUUCAAUCUCAGCGAACUUUUUCCAGUUAUCUAAGACAUUUGAUGAUGUACGGACCACCAUAAUGCAUGAAAAUUUCAGUAGCCUCACUGUUCUCAUUCAGAAUUUACCAAAUAUCUGAAUGCAAAGGCCUGCCUGCAGUGUGUUUGCACAUGAUUCUAUGAUAAAGUGUUAUUGAGAUAGCAAAAAUGAGCAGCACUUGUUACAGCCCUUGAGAUGCAGUGGGGGAAAAAUGAGAUUUGGAUUCAAAGUGGUGUAAAUAUAUAAUUGUGCAAAAAUAAAGCCUAACCAAAGUGAUACUACAUAGUCUAAGUUAAAAAAUAUUAUGAAUGUAGCUCAGUUGGCUCAACUGAGGAUCAUAACUCAGUGGAUAUACUUUAUGGCCUUGGACAAUUCAGCCACUCCAUGAUCUAUUUUUCAACUUUUACGUAAAGGAAAAUACAAUUGCAUUUCAUUUUUGUGCAUAUAUUUGAAGGAAGAAUUCUGCAUAGAUUAAAGAUUAAUUAAAAUAAAUGGACUAAGACUCUACAUAGUUUUUAUGAAAUGCACAUUGUGUAAUGAACUAUUGAACAGUAAUUGAGAAAGAGGAGUAAAAGGAAAAAACAUAGAAAAUCCAGCCUUCAAUUAGAAUUCAAAUAAUGUCAUUGAAGUUCCUCUUCAGACCUACUCUUAGGUACUUUACAUUUCUGCUCGGUAACAAAAGUUUAAUUCAGACUUGGCUCAGUCCAGAAAAAUUUUCAUAAUAUAUUAAUCAUUACAUGGAGCAAGGUAA